rnacentral:tRNA from 1 species
GUCUCAGUAGCACAGUGGUUAGUGCACAGCUAACGAUACGUUGAGACGCGGGUUCGAAUCCCGCCUGGGAUG